rnacentral:rRNA from 1 species
CCUACGGGUGGCAGCAGUAGGGAAUAUUGCUCAAUGGGGGAAACCCUGAAGCAGCAACGCCGCGUGGAGGAUGAAGGUUUUCUGAUUGUAAACUCCUUUUGUUAGAGAAGAUAAUGACGGUAUCUAACGAAUAAGCACCGGCUAACUCCGUGCCAGCAGCCGCGGUAAUACGGAGGGUGCAAGCGUUACUCGGAAUCACUGGGCGUAAAGAGCGCGUAGGCGGGAUAGCAAGUGAGGUGUGAAAUCCUAGGGCUUAAACAGCGAAGUGCAUUUGAAACUGUUAUUCUAGAGUAUGGGAGAGGUAGGUGGAAUUCUUGGUGUAGGGGUAAAAUCCGUAGAGAUCAAGAGGAAUACUGAGUGCGAAGGCAGCAUGCUAGAACAUAACUGACGCUGAUGCGCGAAAGCGUGGGGAGCAAACAGGAUUAGAUACCCUUGUAGUC